AUUUGGCUCUACAUGUCGUAAACUCAAUUGGUAUUGGUGAAAUUAAACUAAGAUAUUCAGUAAACAACAGAAUGAAUAGUAACAGAUUUUAGGAUAGGGGCAGACUGAUGAAAAGGUUCUACUGUGAAAAAAGGCAUACUUUUUCAAGACACUGUAUGUUGGGUAUCAUUGGAACAUUGUAAGAAGACAGAGAGGUCACAUUAGGACCACACAAGACUGCAGAAAGAUGGACUCUGGAACCUGCCUGACCUUCCACCAAGCCAGAAACAAGCCUGGUCAAGGAUGCAAAUGGAAUGGCUCUACUGCUUCGAAAUCCACGGUUUAAUUUUGCCAUUCACCAAGCCAACUGCCAUUAAAAGCAUUUCUGCAAACACCAGCACUUUUUGUGUUUUUCUUUGUCACAUUUAACUAGGUGAGGAUCAUUUAUCAUUAAUCAGAAUCAGAUUUAUCAUCACCGGCAUGUGAUGUGAAAUUUGUUAACUCAGCAGCAGC